rnacentral:rRNA from 1 species
GCUACACAUGCAAGUCGAGCGGUAGCACAGAGAGCUUGCUCUCGGGUGACGAGCGGCGGACGGGGGAUUAAUGUCUGGGAAACUGCCUGAUGGAGGGGGAUAACUACUGGAAACGGUAGCUAAUACCGCAUAACGUCGCAAGACCAAAGUGGGGGACCUUCGGGCCUCAUGCCAUCAGAUGUGCCCAGAUGGGAUUAGCUGGUAGGUGGGGUAACGGCUCACCUAGGCGACGAUCCCUAGCUGGUCUGAGAGGAUGACCAGCCACACUGGAACUGAGACACGGUCCAGACUCCUACGGGAGGCAGCAGUGGGGAAUAUUGCACAAUGGGCGCAAGCCUGAUGCAGCCAUGCCGCGUGUGUGAAGAAGGCCUUCGGGUUGUAAAGCACUUUCAGCGGGGAGGAAGGCGGUGAGGUUAAUAACCUCAUCGAUUGACGUUACCCGCAAAAGAAGCACCGGCUAACUCCGUGCCAGCAGCCGCGGUAAUACGGAGGGUGCAAGCGUUAAUCGGAAUUACUGGGCGUAAAGCGCACGCAGGCGGUCUGUCAAGUCGGAUGUGAAAUCCCCGGGCUCAACCUGGGAACUGCAUUCGAAACUGGCAGGCUAGAGUCUUGUAGAGGGGGGUAGAAUUCCAGGUGUAGCGGUGAAAUGCGUAGAGAUCUGGAGGAAUACCGGUGGCGAAGGCGGCCCCCUGGACAAAGACUGACGCUCAGGUGCGAAAGCGUGUGGAGCAAACAGGAUUAGAUACCCUGGUAGUCCACGCUGUAAACGAUGUCGAUUUGGAGGUUGUGCCCUUGAGGCGUGGCUUCCGGAGCUAACGCGUUAAAUCGACCGCCUGGGGGAGUACGGCCGCAAGGUUAAAACUCAAAUGAAUUUGACGGGGGGCCCGCA